rnacentral:rRNA from 1 species
GGACUACCAGGGUUUCUAAUCCUGUUUGCUCCCCACGCUUUCGCGCCUCAGCGUCAGUAACGAGCCAGAAAGCCGCCUUCGCCUCUGAUGUUCCUCCUAAUAUCUACGAAUUUCACCUCUACACUAGGAAUUCCGCUUUCCUCUCUCGUCCUCUAGUCAUACCGUUUCAGGCGCUAUUCCCAGGUUAAGCCUGGGGCUUUCACGCUUGACUAAUAUGACCGCCUACGCGCCCUUUACGCCCAGUCAUUCCGAACAACGCUAGCACCCUCUGUCUUACCGCGGCUGCUGGCAC